rnacentral:rRNA from 1 species
GACGAACGCUGGCGGCGUGCUUAACACAUGCAAGUCGAACGGAAAGGCCCUGCUUUUGUGGGGUGCUCGAGUGGCGAACGGGUGAGUAACACGUGAGUAACCUGCCCUUGACUUUGGGAUAACUUCAGGAAACUGGGGCUAAUACCGGAUAGGAGCUCCUGUUGCAUGGUGGGGGUUGGAAAGUUUCGGCGGUUGGGGAUGGACUCGCGGCUUAUCAGCUUGUUGGUGGGGUAGUGGCUUACCAAGGCUUUGACGGGUAGCCGGCCUGAGAGGGUGACCGGCCACAAUGGGACUGAGAUACGGCCCAGACUCCUACGGGAGGCAGCAGUGGGGAAUAUUGCACAAUGGGCGGAAGCCUGAUGCAGCAACGCCGCGUGCGGGAUGACGGCCUUCGGGUUGUAAACCGCUUUCGCCUGUGACGAAGCGUGAGUGGCGGUAAUGGGUAAAGAAGCACCGGCUAACUACGUG